GGGCUCAGUGGUAGAGUGUGUGAUUUAGAGCUUGGUGCUGAUAACACAAAGGUUGCAGUUUCAAUCCCUGUAUGGUACA